AAUCCUUUAACGAGGAUCAAUUGGAGGGCAAGUCUGGUGCCAGCAGCCGCGGUAAUUCCAGCUCCAAUAGCGUAUAUUAAAGUUGUUGCGGUUAAAAAGCUCGUAGUUGGAUCUUCGGCCGAGGAAUGCGGUCCCCCGUUGGGCGGUUACUGCUUUUCCUGGCCUAACUUACCGGUUCUUCGUUUUGUGCUCUUAAUUGAGUGCCUAACGUGACAGGAACGUUUACUUUGAAAAAAUUAGAGUGCUCAAAGCAGGCAUAUUGCCUGAAUAGUGGUGCAUGGAAUAAUGGAAUAAGAUCCUGGUUUUGUUUUAUUGGUUCGAAGCGAUGAUAAUGAUUGAAGGGGACAGACGGGGGCAUUCGUAUUGCGACGUUAGAGGUGAAAUUCUUGGAUCGUCGCAAGACGGACUACUGCGAAAGCAUUUGCCAAGAAUGUUUUCAUCAAUCAAGAACGAAAGUCUGAGGUUCGAAGGCGAUCAGAUACCGCCCUAGUUCAGACCGUAAACGAUGCCAACUUGCGAUCCACAGGCGUUAUAUAACGACCUUGUGGGAAGCAUCCGGGAAACCAAAGUUUUUGGGUUCCGGGGGAAGUAUGGUUGCAAAUCUGAAACUUAAAGGAAUUGACGGAAGGGCACCACCAGGAGUGGAGCCUGCGGCUUAAUUUGACUCAACACGGGAAAACUCACCCGGCCCGGACACCGUAAGGAUUGACAGAUUGAUUGCUCUUUCUUGAUUUGGUGGGUGGUGGUGCAUGGCCGUUCUUAGUUGGUGGAGCGAUUUGUCUGGUUAAUUCCGAUAACGAACGAGACUCUAGCCUGCUAAAUAGGCAGCGGACUUAUGUCCGCUGAACUUCUUAGAGGGACAAGCAGCUUCUAGCUGCACGAGAUUGAGCAAUAACAGGUCUGUGAUGCCCUUAGAUGUCCGGGGCUGCACGCGCGCUACACUGAAGGAUUCAAUAUGCUUCUCUACCUUACCCGGAAGGGUUAGGUAACCCGUUGAAACUCCUUCGUGAUAGGAAUAGGGAAUUGCAAUUAUUUCCCUUGAACGAGGAAUUCCUAGUAAGUGCGGGUCAUCAGCUCGCGCUGAUUACGUCCCUGCCCUUUGUACACACCGCCCGUCGCUACUACCGAUUGGAGAUUGACGAGAAGUGUCGGGAACGGUCUCUGGACUGCUUUCAGUAGCCCAGAGUACUGUGAACCUCAU
rnacentral:rRNA from 1 species